UUGGACUACUAGGGUUUCUAAUCCUGUUUGAUACCCACACUUUCGAGCAUCAGCGUCAGUUACAGUCCAGCAAGCUGCCUUCGCAAUCGGAGUUCUUCGUGAUAUCUAAGCAUUUCACCGCUACACCACGAAUUCCGCCUGCCUCUACUGUACUCAAGACACCCAGUAUCAACUGCAAUUUUACGGUUGAGCCGCAAACUUUCACAACUGACUUAAGCGUCCGCCUACGCUCCCUUUAAACCCAAUAAAUCCGGAUAACGCUCGGAUCCUCCGUAUUACCGCGGCUGCUGGCACGGAGUUAGCCGAUCCUUAUUCAUACGGUACAUACAAAAAGGCACACGUGCCUCACUUUAUUCCCGUAUAAAAGAAGUUUACAACCCAUAGGGCAGUCAUCCUUCAC
rnacentral:misc_RNA from 1 species